CGCGGCCUAUCAGCUUGUUGGUGAGGUAACGGCUCACCAAGGCAUCGACGGGUAGCUGGUCUGAGAGGAUGAUCAGCCACACUGGGACUGAGACACGGCCCAGACUCCUACGGGAGGCAGCAGUGGGGAAUCUUGCGCAAUGGGCGAAAGCCUGACGCAGCAACGCCGCGUGCGGGAAGAAGGCCCUCGGGUUGUAAACCGCUUUCAGCAGGAACGAAAAUGACGGUACUUGCAGAAGAAGGUGCGGCCAACUACGUGCCAGCAGCCGCGGUGACACGUAGGCACCAAGCGUUGUCCGGAUUUAUUGGGCGUAAAGAGCUCGUAGGCGGUUCGGUAAGUCGGGUGUGAAAACUUUGGGCUUAACCCAAAGCCUGCAUCCGAUACUGCUGUGACUAGAGUUCGGUAGGGGAGCGGGGAAUUCCUAGUGUAGCGGUGAAAUGCGCAGAUAUUAGGAGGAACACCGGUGGCGAAGGCGCCGCUCUGGGCCGAUACUGACGCUGAGGAGCGAAAGCGUGGGUAGCAAACAGGAUUAGAUACCCUGGUAGUCCACGCCGUAAACGUUGGGCACUAGGUGUGGGUUUCAACCAACGAAAUCCGCGCCGUCGCUAACGCAUUAAGUGCCCCGCCUGGGGAGUACGG
rnacentral:rRNA from 1 species